CACAAUCUCCAUAUCACAAUCAGAAACCCAACUCCUAUUCCUCAAUUUCUCUCUCGAUUUUGUUCAUCAAAUAGAAGUUACCGUACUUGUGGUUUUACUUCAACUUAUACUAGAAGUAUUUCAGCUUUUUCAUGAUCUUUUACUUCUGUUAAGAUGAGUAUGGGUAUAUCAAGGUCUCAAAAAUGGUGUAGAAGAGGUUGGGAAAGAAAAAGAUUAAAGGGUGAUGUAAGAAAAAAAA
rnacentral:lncRNA from 1 species